rnacentral:rRNA from 1 species
AUUGAACGCUGGCGGCGUGCCUAACACUUGCAAGUCGAGCGAAGAACUUCGGUUCUUAGCGGCGGACGGGUGAGUAACACGUGGGUAACCUGCCUCAAAGAGGGGGAUAGCCUCCCGAAAGGGAGAUUAAUACCGCAUAAUAUCAGGAUCUCGCAUGAGAACUUGAUUAAAGGAGCAAUCCGCUUUGAGAUGGACCCGCGGCGCAUUAGCUAGUUGGUGAGGUAACGGCUCACCAAGGCGACGAUGCGUAGCCGACCUGAGAGGGUGAUCGGCCACAUUGGAACUGAGACACGGUCCAGACUCCUACGGGAGGCAGCAGUGGGGAAUAUUGCACAAUGGGCGAAAGCCUGAUGCAGCAACGCCGCGUGAGUGAUGAAGGCCUUCGGGUUGUAAAACUCUGUCUUCUGGGACGAUAAUGACGGUACCAGAGGAGGAAGCCACGGCUAACUACGUGCCAGCAGCCGCCGUAA